AGCGGCGGACGGGUUAGUAACGCGUGGGAACAUACCCUUCUCUACGGAAUAGCCUCGGGAAACUGAGAGUAAUACCGUAUAAGCCCUUCGGGGGAAAGAUUUAUCGGUGAAGGAUUGGCCCGCGUAAGAUUAGAUAGUUGGUGGGGUAAUGGCCUACCAAGUCUACGAUCUUUAGCUGGUUUGAGAGGAUGAUCAGCAACACUGGGACUGAGACACGGCCCAGACUCCUACGGGAGGCAGCAGUGGGGAAUCUUAGACAAUGGGGGAAACCCUGAUCUAGCGAUGCCGCGUGUGUGACGAAGGCCUUAGGGUCGUAAAGCACUUUCGCCAAGGAUGAUAAUGACAGUACUUGGUAAAGAAACCCCGGCUAACUCCGUGCCAGCAGCCGCGGUAAUACGGAGGGGGUUAGCGUUGUUCGGAAUUACUGGGCGUAAAGCGCGCGUAGGUGGUUAAUUAAGUCAGAUGUGAAAUCCCAGGGCUUAACCCUGGAACUGCCUCAUAAACUCCUGGUCUUGAGUUCGAGAGAGGUGAGUGGAAUUCCAAGUGUAGAGGUGAAAUUCGUAGAUAUUUGGAGGAACACCAGUGGCGAAGGCGGCUCACUGGCUCGAUAUUGACGCUGAGGUACGAAAGUGUGGGGAGCAAACAGGAUU
rnacentral:rRNA from 1 species